rnacentral:rRNA from 1 species
CAGCAGGUCUGUAGCAAUACAGAUGCUGGCGACCGGCAAACGGGUGCGGAACACGUACACAACCUUCCUUUAAGUGGGGAAUAGCCCGGGGAAACCCGGAUUAAUACCCCGUAACAUAUAGAAGUGGCCUCGCUUUUAUAUUAUAGCAGCAAUGCGCUUGAAGAUGGGUGUGCGGCUGAUUAGAUAGUUGGCGGGGUAACGGCCCACCAAGUCGACGAUCAGUAACUGGUGUGAGAGCACGACCAGUCACACGGGCACUGAGACACGGGCCCGACUCCUACGGGAGGCAGCAGUAAGGAAUAUUGGUCAAUGGACGCAAGUCUGAACCAGCCAUGCCGCGUGAAGGAUGAAGGUCCUCUGGAUUGUAAACUUCUUUUAUUUGGGAAGAAAUCUAUCUUUUCUUGGAUAGUUGACGGUACCAGAUGAAUAAGCACCGGCUAACUCCGUGCCAGCAGCCGCGGUAAUACGGAGGGUGCAAGCGUUAUCCGGAUUCACUGGGUUUAAAGGGUGCGUAGGUGGGCAGGUAAGUCAGUGGUGAAAUCUCCGGGCUUAACCCGGAAACUGCCAUUGAUACUAUCUGUCUUGAAUACCCUGGAGGUGAGCGGAAUAUGUCAUGUAGCGGUGAAAUGCUUAGAUAUGACAUAGAACACCCAUUGCGAAGGCAGCUCACUACGGGAUUAUUGACACUGAGGCACGAAAGCGUGGGGAUCAAACAGGAUUAGAUACCCUGGUAGUCCACGCCCUAAACUAUGGAUACUCGACAUCAGCGAUAAACUGUUGGUGUCUGAGCGAAAGCAUUAAGUAU